UAUACCUUUUUCUGUGUGUGUGUGAAGGGG
rnacentral:piRNA from 1 species